rnacentral:rRNA from 1 species
UACGUAGAAGACUAGUGUUAUUCAUCUUUAAUAGGUUUAUAGGGUACCUAGACGGAAAAUCAAGCCUUCAUCGGGACUAAUUUCUAGAGUUUUAUGUGGAAAGGUCGAAUUACCAGAGGAGAGUCAAAAUUCUGUUAUACUGGUAGGACGGAUAACGGCGAAGGCAACCUUUUAUGUAAUAACUGACGUUGAGGGACGAAGCCUUGGGUAGCAAUAAGG